AUGGAUGAGAUUGCCCAAGCUGAUUAUGUCCGUCUCAGGCAGCUUCACCCCUAUGUGCAUCCGCGUGCCACCUUCAGAGGCUGUGAGUUGUUCUGGAACAAGCAACAGGUCAACAUCUAUCUGGAUGUCAUCAAGAACAAGCAGAACACCUAUGUGGAGGUGAAGUGGAUUAAUAUGCAUCACAUGAGGAAGGACAAGUUUCGUGACUACUAUGGAGAGGCUCUGGACUUGGUGGAGCAGUUUGGCAUUGAGCAUGUGAUUACCAUCCACCUCGACUAUGACCCUGAGCUCAUCUGUCAGUUCUUUGCCUUAGUCUACUUUCACUCCGAUGAGGAACGGAGGAUGACCUGGAUGACCAACGGCCGUAAGCUGUCUGCUACCUGGAAGGAGUUCAUGGAUCUCCUCCAGGUUCCUGAUGAUGGUCUCGCCUCUCCAGUGGGUGUUCGCCCGCAUGCCAAUGCUGAUUCUGCCAGCAAGGACAGACUUACCCCUUUCAUGGUUGAGAAGGCGCUCGCCAAUGGCAAGACAACUUUGGUGCUCAACCCUUUCCUGGAUAUCAUGUAUCGCAUCUUCCGCAACUCCUUGGUUCCUCGCAUCGGUGAUAACGACAAGGUUCAUGCCUAUAUGGUAGAUAUGAUGCUCAUCUGCGAGGAUGCUCGUUCGUCUCAGUCACAGCCACUUGAUGUCUCACACAUCAUGUGGUGUGAGCUCCGAUUUGCAGUAUUCAACCGCAAGGUGCCUAUCUAUGGGCCCUAUCUAUUUCUGCUGAUUUCGAAAACUUGGGAGAAGAUGUUUUCUGCUGAUGAGUUUCUUGCUCCUGACUGGGUUCGCCAUGAGCCCAUCUUCCUGCGUAUCAAACCCAACUGGGCCAACACCACUACUCGCGCCGAGGCGACUGCUGCUCGGACUACUGUUGAUGAGGAGGAUGCUGGCCCCGAGGAUGUUGCUGAGGGCCAUGCUACUAGACCUUCCCAGAGUACCUCUAUGCCAUCAUGGGCCAAGAAGCUGAAGGACAAGAUGAAGACUCUUUUCUGCAUGCAAGCCAAGGGGCAGUACAGGACUCAUGUGGCGUCCAAGGAGAGUCGUCGCCGGGACAACAAGAUCUUGCAGCUCUAUGGUGAGGCAGUGUCUGGCGGGUCUGAGGAGCACAUCACUCCAAAAGCCGAGUGGAUGGAGAAGCAGGGCUACAGGUGGACUGAGUCUGAGGAGGAUGUCGAGGAGACCAUCCCUGCUGCCGAGGCAUCCGAUGGAGAGGAUUGGGACGAGUUCUCUGCUUGA
rnacentral:rRNA from 1 species